rnacentral:tRNA from 1 species
AGUUGGUAGUUGUUAGUUGGUAAAGCACUUGUCUAGCGAAUAAGGGUCGUGAGUUCAAAUCUCACCUGAGCUG